AGGGAUAGCCCGAGGAAACUCGGAUUAAUACCUGAUAUUCUUUAUAUUUCGCAUGAAAAUAAAAGGAAAGGUCAGCCGAACUAAGAUGAGCUCGCGUUCUAUCAGCUAGUUGGUGAGGUAAAAGCUCACCAAGGCUACGACGGAUAGCUGGUCUGAGAGGACGAUCAGCCACACUGGGACUGAGACACGGCCCAGACUCCUACGGGAGGCUGCAGCAGGGAAUAUUGCGCAAUGAGCGAAAGCUUGACGCAGCGACACCGCGUGUGGGAUGACGGAUCUAGGUUUGUAAACCACUUUCAGGAGGGAAGAAAAUGACGGUACCUCCACAAGAAGCCCCGGCCAACUACGUG
rnacentral:rRNA from 1 species